rnacentral:rRNA from 1 species
AGAGUUUGAUCCUGGCUCAGGACGAACGCUGGCGGCGUGCUUAACACAUGCAAGUCGAACGCUGAAGCCUGCAGCUUGCUGUGGGUGGAUGAGUGGCGAACGGGUGAGUAACACGUGAGUAACCUGCCCCUGACUCUGGGAUAAGCCCGGGAAACUGGGUCUAAUACCGGAUAUGACCAUUCUCCGCAUGGAGUGGUGGUGGAAAGUUUUUCGGUUGGGGAUGGGCUCGCGGCCUAUCAGCUUGUUGGUGGGGUGAUGGCCUACCAAGGCGACGACGGGUAGCCGGCCUGAGAGGGCGACCGGCCACACUGGGACUGAGACACGGCCCAGACUCCUACGGGAGGCAGCAGUGGGGAAUAUUGCACAAUGGGGGAAACCCUGAUGCAGCGACGCCGCGUGGGGGAUGACGGCCUUCGGGUUGUAAACCUCUUUCAGUAGGGAAGAAGCCUUCGGGUGACGGUACCUGCAGAAGAAGUACCGGCUAACUACGUG